rnacentral:rRNA from 1 species
UCGACCUCAAAUCGGGUGAGACUACCCGCUGAACUUAAGCAUAUC